GCAGCCCCCUCCUCUCUCUGUUUUAACCGACGCACAAAUGUUCGCGCGUUCACUCAAGGGACGGAAUCACUGCAUAUUAGGUUAGCGUUUUCUUCAGUGCCAUGCUAUGUUAAGUUAUAUAUGUCAGAAAACUUUUUAAAGAGUUUGAUAGAACUGGAGGUUUGUGGAAUGGCUCUGGAAAGUUUCUGAUUGGAUAAUUCAAAAAGCGGCAAAAUGCAGAGUUCAAAGAUACAAUUUGAACGUCUAAACCAGCAAAUCCCCCUUUUAACCAUGAAUUGGGUACAUCUCUGCCAGCAGUUUCUCCAGCAUCGUCACUGCCACCUCUCUUGAUUCUUCCUGCUUUUUUGGGCCCCCAAGUCAAGACGGGACACCAGAACAGGUUUUCACUAGAGAAGUCAGGAUUACGAGUCUGGGGCUCAGAUUCACCAGUGAGGGAAGAGUUGUCCACCUGGAAAGGAAAGCAAGUAGAGAUGACACGAAUAUCAGAUGGGAUUCUGUCUCCACUUUUGACCUCCACAAGAUCACCUACAACUACCUCCUCAGCGUCGAUGACCUUUUUCUCUCCAUCACGUACAACCAGGGCUUUCUACAUGACAAUAUAUGUACAUAAACAUCAAUAUCCUUUGUACAUUGUGAAAACUAUUUUUGGCAUAUAGAAAAUUUACAUUUUUCUACCUGAGGAACGAGGUUCUUGAACGAAUCCAUGAUUUUAGAGCUCUUGGCUUCUUGAUAGUAUGAGAAGCAUCCAUUGAUUGUGACAACAAAAGCAAGCACAAGUCCCAGAUAUAGCUGCAAGAAAAUAACAUAAUUAGUCAUCAGUUUUAUUUGUUUAUCCAAAGUUUGCAGAACACUUAUUAGGAGAAUAAUUCACUGGGAGAGGUGUUAUAUUAAACACAUUGUUCAAGAGCAUUAUGGUUAAGAGCUCAGAUCUUUAAUUAAUUAAACAUACCUUUCUUAAAAUGGCUCAGGGUUUAUGUAAAUAAUGACGUUACUAGGUUUACUGACAUAUGAACUAUUUAUGCAAAUGUAGAAAUAUAGACAGAAUAUUUUUUCUCAUACAUUGUCAUUUGCUGGUUCUUCUUCUGAGGCAGCCUGGAUGGAAUAUGCAAAGAAGCAAAGAAAUGCACCAAUCCACAGCAGUGUCUGGAAUCCACCAAACAGCUGUCUGCAGAACUUGACCCAUUCUGGAGUCGUAACAGGUGGAGUCAAGGCAUUUGGUCCAUCGCGGGCUAAGAUUUCCUUUGCUCGGGAAAUGGUCAAACCCUGCCACAAGUUAUAAAAAUAGAGCAAUUAAAGGCGUACAGAAAACUGAUGCUCAGAAAUAAUAUGUGGCUACAGAUGCAUUGUUACCCUUGCCAACAAAAAGGUAAGUCAUUUUCCACAAAACGUAAUCAUUUAUUUCACAUAAAUGAUUGAAAAUAGAAAUAAUGCAUCAUUCUGGAUGAUAAUGCAUACUCACCUUGGUCAGAUCAGUGCCAUAUUUUCGGCUAAGCUCUUCCAAGGUCAACUUGUGGUCUUCCUGCAGAAAGGUAAUGAAUAUGCAAAUAAGCAAAGAAAUUCACCAAUCCAGUGUGGAUUUUGGAAUUAAUCAUUCAAUUAAUCAGAAAUCAAUAAUGAUUUCUUACCAGUUCCACUUCUUUCUUCAGUUCCUCCAUGUCCUUUUUGUUCUUUUUCCCCUUUUUGGGCUUUUUGACUCCAUCUUCUGAUGUUGCUGCCAAUUUGUACUCAUCCUUCCCUGUCUGUCACACAUAAAACAACAAAACCUAUAUAUAACACACACAACCAGAUCUCCCAAAAAAUCACCUUAAAUGAAUGAAAUGCAUGCAUAAUGAAAGAAAUGAAGCAAUGAAUCCAGCAGUAUAGCUUUUAGUCACUUACCCCGAGCCCCAUUUUCCUUACUGCUGUUCACUAAAAAUUCAGUGAUUUCAGGAGUCUGGUCUUGGAUACAGAAUUUGAGGCUGAAGUCCCUGUGUGUCCAAACCAGGUUCACAGAUUUAUACACUGCCAACUCACCUGUUUAAUAGGGAGGUGUUCAGGCAAAAUAUAGGGAGGAGUUUGUCAGGUAUCAUUUAGUUCUAGGAUUUCUUUUACCUUUAUUUAUAGAGGUAGGUCAUUUCUUGACACCCAGGUGAAGGACUGGUUUAUUAACUGUUGUCUUAUCAGUAGAUCUAUGGCUUGUUUGCGUCACUUUUGAACAUUUUUUUUCAUUUACAUGGAGAAAAUGAUCUAUAAAUUGUGUUCUAUGGCCCCCAAUAUCUAAUGAAUCACUUUGCACUUUAAAUAUAGGACAUUUUAACAUGUUAAUGCUAUCUGUUGUCAGUCAAAAGACUGUUAAGGCCUCCAUGUCCUUCACACUGCCUUCAGGUUUAGUCCACUUUUAUGCCUCCAGCAGCAUCACACAGAUGUGGGUGCCGCAAACAUCACUUUGCAUUCAUAUAUAGUUGGAAUGAUUUCUCUCUUGAGUUUGCAUUGAUGUGUAUGUCCCACACUUGAAUAAUAAAUGAAAAAGCCUUGUUGAGAAAUGCAAAGAAUUUUGUGAUGAAAUCCCAAAGAGCCUUUAUGAUGAAUAAACUGAUGACCAGGAUUGUCAGAAUAUGGCCAUCAUGCAUAAACUUACUGUCAUUGUUGUUCCCUCUGAUUUACUAGUUAAAAUCUGCAAUACAUUUAAAAUAUUAAUAUAAACUGUUGUGGUGUUUAUUGUAGGAUUUGUUGAUAUAUGUACAAUAUUUAAUAUUCAGCUCAUUCCAUUUAUUGGGAGUAAUCCAAAAUGAUUUUUUGGUUAGAUUUAACAAGAAAAUACUGAAAACCAACAUUACUAAACUGUCUAACUGUCUAUACUUUUAUGCAUGACUAAAAUAGCUUGAGUUACUGUAUCCACUUUUGAAGAACAUGGGUAACUAAUUGACACUAGCCAUUGACUUCCAUGGUAAGGCAAAAAAAAUUAAAAAUAAAAAAAUACUAUGGAAGUCAAUAGGGAUCAUCAACUGUUUGGUUACUUCUUUUGGUUCUUUAAAAUAUCUUCUUUUAUGUUCAACAGAAGAAAGAAACUCAUACCGGUUUGGAGCAACUUCAGGGUGAGUAAAUGAUGACGUCUUGCUAAGGAUAACUCAAGAUAAAUGACUUGCUAUUUCAUGCAUUCUGACUUAUUUACACUGUUAAAGAGUUGGAUUCUCAUGCUAAACAUGGCCAAAGUUUAAUAAAAAACAUGUUGGAUUAUGACAGAGUAUUUUGGUUCCAAAUACACUCCUUCAGGCAGUAUUUUCAAGUAUGGCUAUGUAUGAAGUCAUAAAGGGCGGAUUGUUUUUUCGGAAAGUUUUUUUCAAGUAUGGCUAUGUAUGAAGUCAUAAAGGGCGGAUUUUUUUAUAUGGGCAUUUCUCCCAGAAGAGUGCAUGCACACAUCAACCAGAGCGAGGUCAGGUGCACGCCCAUCAGCUUGCUUUAUUCGGGUUAAGGAAGUCGUUGGCAGCACUGCACAGAUUUUUCAUUUUGUUUCUAGAUUAUGAAAUCAACAGUGUUAUUUUUUUUAAGUUGUGGGGAAAAGAUAACCUUGUUCAGCUUCCCAAAACUCUUUUAUGAAAUAAUUGCAUACUUUCUUAUUUUUAUCACCUUUGACCAUUUUUACAUGAAGUAAAAUAAUGACUGUGUAAAUGAUGCCCAAGUAUCUAAUGAAUUAAUUUGCUUCUGUUCAAUGGCAGAAUCCAUCGUUAAAAGUUAAAAUUUGCAUAUUAUAUAGGACCUUCUCAGUGUUAAUGUUGAAAAAGAUCUGUUGUCAGUCAAUAGACUGUCACAGCCUUUAUGUCCUUCACAGUGUCUUAAAGUUUAGUCCACAUGUAUGUCUCCAGCACAGAUGUGGGUGCAGCAAACAUCGCUUAUCAUUCAAAUACAGUUGGAAUGAUUGCUUUUUAAUUUGCAUUGUUUUCCAAAACUCUUGUUACCUGUUUGUGUGUCCCACAAAUAAAUAAUCAUUGAAAACAUUA